ACGGAUGCCCGUCGGUCCUCCGCUGCCGCCCCAUGCGACGCACAGUCGCACACCAUCUUCUUCUCCUGCCCCACGCGACCACCACCUCCCUCUUCUCCCUCGCCUCGCUCUGUCUCAGCUACGAGGUCAGAGCAGAUGGCGAUGACGUGCUGCCUUCCCCCUGCUUAUAAAUGUUACUGCUGAUGUGGAAUUGGAUUUAUAGAAGAAAAAUAAGAUCCGAGAGGUGAACCAGUUCACUUCUUUUUCUGUCUACACUCAAGAUUUUGUAGAAGAUAAUAAGAUUCGAGAGGUGAAGUAGUUCACUUUGCUUUUCUGCCUACGUGCCUAAUCAGGUUACACAAUAUUUAUUGGGAAAAUUGCUUUGCACCAUUGAUGCUGCAAAUUAGUAGCCAACCUCUUCGUCUUGAUUUUUUAGAAGUUCACUCACGUUAGAAGGGGACCAGGAUUACCUUAUAUUCAGCAUUGUUCACAUAGACUAGAUUUUUUGACGAUGAAGCAGCCUGACAUUUGAAAACCUAUCCUUGAAUCAUGCUGGUUUGUGUGCUGCAAUUUGCAACUGGAGAGGUUCGAACGUCUGGCCA